UACGGAGGGAGCUAGCGUUGUUCGGAAUUACUGGGCGUAAAGCGCACGUAGGCGGCUUUGUAAGUUAGGGGUGAAAGCCCGGAGCUCAACUCCGGAAUUGCCUUUAAGACUGCAUCGCUCGAAUCCGGGAGAGGUGAGUGGAAUUCCGAGUGUAGAGGUGAAAUUCGUAGAUAUUCGGAAGAACACCAGUGGCGAAGGCGGCUCACUGGACCGGUAUUGACGCUGAGGUGCGAAAGCGUGGGGAGCAAACAGG
rnacentral:rRNA from 1 species